rnacentral:rRNA from 1 species
AUGAACGCUGGCGGCGUGCCUAAUACAUGCCAGUCGAGCGAACAGACGAGGAGCUUGCUCCUCUGACGUUAGCGGCGGACGGGUGAGUAACACGUGGCUAACCUACCUAUAAGACUGGGAUAACUUCGGGAAACCGGAGCUAAUACCGGAUAAUAUAUUGAACCGCAUGGUUCAAUAGUGAAAGACGGUUUUGCUGUCACUUAUAGAUGGAUCCGCGCCGCAUUAGCUAGUUGGUAAGGUAACGGCUUACCAAGGCAACGAUGCGUAGCCGACCUGAGAGGGUGAUCGGCCACACUGGAACUGAGACACGGUCCAGACUCCUACGGGAGGCAGCAGUAGGGAAUCUUCCGCAAUGGGCGAAAGCCUGACGGAGCAACGCCGCGUGAGUGAUGAAGGUCUUCGGAUCGUAAAACUCUGUUAUUAGGGAAGAACAAAUGUGUAAGUAACUAUGCACGUCUUGACGGUACCUAAUCAGAAAGCCACGGCUAACUACGUG